UACGAAGGGGGCUAGCGUUGUUCGGAUUUACUGGGCGUAAAGCGCACGUAGGCGGAUUGUUAAGUCGGGGGUGAAAUCCUGGAGCUCAACUCCAGAACUGCCUUCGAUACUGGCAAUCUUGAGUUCCAGAAGAGGUGAGUGGAACUCCUAGUGUAGAGGUGGAAAUUCGUAGAUAUUAGGAAGAACACCAGUGGCGAAGGCGGCUCACUGGUCCGGUACUGACGCUGAGGUGCGAAAGCGAGGGGAGCA
rnacentral:rRNA from 1 species